rnacentral:rRNA from 1 species
AUUGAACGCUGGCGGCAUGCUUUACACAUGCAAGUCGAACGGUAGAGGGGGCAACCCCUUGAGAGUGGCGAACGGGUGAGUAAUGCAUCGGAACGUGCCCAGUCGUGGGGGAUAACGCAGCGAAAGCUGUGCUAAUACCGCAUACGAUCUCUGGAUGAAAGCGGGGGACCGAAAGGCCUCGCGCGAUUGGAGCGGCCGAUGUCAGAUUAGGUAGUUGGUGGGGUAAAGGCUCACCAGGCCAACGAUCUGUAGCUGGUCUGAGAGGACGACCAGCCACACUGGGACUAAGACACGGCCCAGACUCCUACGGGAGGCAGCAGUGGGGAAUUUUGGACAAUGGGCGCAAGCCUGAUCCAGCAUGCCGCGUGCAGGAAGAAGGCCUUCGGGUUGUCAACUGCUUUUGUACGGAACGAAAAGGUCUGGGUUAAUACCCUGGGCACAUGACGGUACCGUAAGAAUAAGCACCGGCUAACUACGUGCCAGCAGCCGCAGUAA